GACGGAGGGUGCAAGCGUUGUUCGGAAUUACUGGGCGUAAAGGGCGCGUAGGCGGUCUGUUAAGUUCGGUGUGAAAGCCCCCGGCUCACCUGGGGAACUGCGCCGGAAACCGACAGACUCGAGUACCGGAGAGGAGGGUGGAAUUCCUGGUGUAGCGGUGAAAUGCGUAGAUAUCAGGAGGAACACCAAUGGCGAAGGCAGAUCUCUGGGCCGUAACUGACGCUGAGGAGCGAAAGCAUGGGGAGCGAACAGG
rnacentral:rRNA from 1 species